rnacentral:rRNA from 1 species
UACGAAGGGGGCUAGCGUUGUUCGGAAUCACUGGGCGUAAAGCGCGCGUAGGCGGACUUUUUAAGUCAGGGGGUGAAAAUCCCGGGGGCUCAACCUCGGAACUGCCUUUGAUACUGGAAGUCUUGAGUUCGAGAGAGGUGAGUGGAAUACCGAGUGUAGAGGUGAAAUUCGUAGAUAUUCGGUGGAACACCAGUGGCGAAGGCGGCUCACUGGCUCGAUACUGACGCUGAGGUGCGAAAAGCGUGGGGAGCAAAACAGGAUUAGAUACCCCCGUAGUCC